rnacentral:rRNA from 1 species
GACGAACGCUGGCGGCGUGCCUAACACAUGCAAGUCCACGAGAAAGCGGUAGCAAUACUGCCGGUAAAGUGGCGAACGGGUGAGUAACACGUAGGUAACUUGCCCUUGGGACUGGAAUAACCUCGAGAAAUCGGGGCUAAUACCGGAUAAUGCAGCGGACCCGCAUGGGUAUGUUGUUAAAGUGGUCUUGGCUUGCCAAGUUCACACCUAAGGAUGGACCUGCGUCCCAUUAGCUAGUUGGGAGGUAACGGCUCACCAAGGCGACGAUGGGUAGCCGGCCUGAGAGGGUGUCC